rnacentral:rRNA from 1 species
UACGAAGGGUGCAAGCGUUACUCGGAAUUACUGGGCGUAAAGCGUGCGUAGGCGGUUCGUUAAGUCUGUCGUGAAGCCCUGGCUCAACCUGGGAAUUGCGAUGGAUACUGGCGAGCUAGAGUACGGUAGAGGAUGGUGGAAUUCCGGUGUAGCGGUGAAUGCGUAGAGAUCGGAGGAACACCGUGGCGAAGGCGGCCAUCUGGACCAGUACUGACGCUGGAGGCACGAAAGCGUGGGAGCAAACAGG